AUACUUACCUGGCAGGGGAGAUACCAUGAUCAAGAAGGUGGUUUUCCCAGGGCGAGGCUUAUCCAUUGCACUCCGGAUGUGCUGACCCCUGCGAUUUCCCCAAAUGUGGGAAACUCGACUGCAUAAUUUGUGGUAGUGGGGGACUGCGUUCGCGUAAAA
ensembl:snRNA U1 U1 spliceosomal RNA